AAUCAACGCUGGCGGCGCGCCUAACACAUGCAAGUCGAACGAGAACGGCUUCAGCAAUGGGGCCUAGUACAGUGGCGAACGGGUGAGUAACACGUGGGUGACCUACCCUCAAGUGGGGGAUAACCCGGGGAAACCUGGGCUAAUACUGCAUGAUAUCCGCAAGGAUCAAAGGAGCAAUUCGCUCGAGGAUGGGCCCGCGGCCGAUUAGCUAGUUGGCGGGGUAACGGCCCACCAAGGCUCUGAUCGGUAGCCGGUCUGAGAGGACGCACGGCCACACUGGAACUGACACACGGUCCAGACUCCUACGGGAGGCAGCAGUGGGGAAUCUUGCACAAUGGGGGAAACCCUGAUGCAGCGACGCCGCGUGGGUGAUGAAGCUCUUCGGAGUGUAAAGCCCUUUCGGCAGGGAAGAGAUAAGACGGUACCUGCAAAAGAAGCCCCGGCUAACUACGUGCCAGCCGCCGCUGUAAUAC
rnacentral:rRNA from 1 species